AUUGAACGCUGGCGGCAGGCCUAACACAUGCAAGUCGAACGAGUGGCGGACGGGCGAGUAAUGUCUGGGAAACUGCCUGAUGGAGGGGGCUAACUACUGGAACCGGUAGCUAAUACCGCAUACCAUCGGAUGUGCCCAGAUGGGAUGAGCUAGUAGGUGGGGUAAAGGCUAACCUAGGCGACGAUCCCCAGCUGAUCUGUGGGGAUGACCAGCCACACUGGAACUGAGACACGGUCCAGACUCCUACGGGAGGCAGCAGUGGGGAAUAUUGGACAAUGGACGCAAGCCGGAUGCAGCAAUGCCGCGUGUAUGAAGAAGGCCUUCGGGUUGUAAAGUACUUUCAGCGGGGAGGCGUUAUCCGCAGAAUAAGCACCGGCUAACUACGUGCCAGCAGCCGCGGUAAUUC
rnacentral:rRNA from 1 species